AGAACAAAAUGGUGAAUAAUCAUCAAUGAAGCCGAGAAGUAACAUUGAUAAAAGUAUCUUCAGGACAAGGGAUCGUUAAGCCACCCAUUGGAUGAUCGAACCCAAACUCUUCUUCGGCUUUACUGAGAAGAGCUUGAAACGAAGGUUGGCUCAAGUAUGAGAUUGGCACCACAUAUCUCUUCUUCUGGCUCUCUCCUACGUACACCGCAAGAAACCCUUUAGGUGGUGCCGCCAUGGUUGCUCUUUUGCUUGUAGAAGCUGUUGAUGUUACAGAGCGGCCAAGAAUCUUCUUUGCACCCAAUAAACUUCUCACCAAAGCCAUUUCUGAAAGUUUGAAUUCUUUUGAAGAGAUGUAUGAAAAUAUAAGGUUAUUGGAUUGCUUGUUGUUGGUUGAUGAUAGAAAGAAUGAGUUAUGUGUAUAUAUAGUAAUAUCAAUGAAGAUGAUGAGUUGCAAUCCUCUGAAAAAUCGUUGAAACUUGUGGUGUUGAAGUGUGGGACAAGCUACCACAAUUUCACAUGGUUCUGUCUUUCGCAUCUGGAAAGAAAUGCAUUAAUGCAAUUUGUCUACUUGGAUAAUCUCCAACGGCAAUUCACAAGGGCUUGUUUUCUCAAUGUUUCUUUGAAUCUGUAGUAAUCAAGUGGUUGGUUGUUUGGCCUAUUCUCUAAACUCUGAGGUCGAAAUGGAUUUAAUAAGAACUAAAAGUAGGGACCUGUUGUUCUUCAACAGCAGAACAUAAGAACAAGUCCCUGUCAGUACUAAUUAUGUUUUUUUUUUAUUAAAUAUGACAUUAAUAUUUAUGUAAAUUUUUUUAUACAAGUGUCUCUCAGUUCAUCAUUUCAGGAGAACAAUAAAUAUUUAGGCCUUUAAGCUUUUGGUAGAAAAAAAAAGAAAAACAGAGUACGGAAGAUAAAUUUUGAUCAAAUCAAGGAUUUUGUUUCUGACAUUGUUACGUGAGUUGAAAGACUGAUAUAUAGUUAAAUCAGCAGAUAACCUAGAAGGAAGGGAAGCAGAGGAAAUCUCAAGAAACAUAACAAGAUUUUCUAGAAGAUUAUGGGUUAUACAUAAGCUGUAAGAGCCCUCACUAUAUUAGAUUCUACAUGAUUCUUGUCCUACAACUUCAUAGCAGAAUGAACUUUACAAUUAAACCGGAUACUUAAUGAAUUAAACAAACUCUUAAACUGAGAGCUAAUACCCUAAAUGAAGAAUUUUGUUUGGUUGAUAAAAAGAACUGACUAAUAUUAAGGCGAUUCGUUUAAUUUCAUCUCUCUGCACUGCUCAGUCUUCUUUGUUAAUUUGAAGCCUUCAAUGGAUGAUAAUUUGGUUAAACAGCAACUAAAGUAUAAUUUAAUUAGUUUUUCAAUUGGUGUUGUCAUUCUGUUUUCCAUGUUUGUUCCAAAUGCAUAAAUAUAACAUGAAUCAUGAUUGUGUCUAUAACAGAAUAAUGGUAUUUACUUCCAACAUUUUUCAAACAAUUCUUUUAAGAAGAAAAAGUAACAAAAAAUCUCCUCUAUUUACAAGGAACAAGUCUAACUCUAAUUCUAAGAACAAAAUGAUGGAUAAUCAUCAAUGAAGCCGAGAAGUCACAGUGAUGAAAGUAUCUUCAGGACAUGGGAUCGUUAAGCCACCCAUUGGAUGAUCGAACCCAAACUCUUCCUCGGCUUUACUGAGAAGAGCUUGAAACGAAGGUUGGCUCAAAUAUGAGAUUGGCACCACAUAUCUCUUCUUCUGACUUUCUCCUACAUACACCGCAAGAAACCCUUUUGGUGCAGCCGAGGUUGCUCUUUUGCUUGUUGCAGCUCCAAGAAUCUUCUUUGCACCCAACAGACUUCUCACCAAAGCCAUUUCUAGUUUUUUUUUUUUUGAAAGUUUGAAUCCUUUUGAAGCUUCUGAAGAUGUUAUGAAAAGGUUCAAGUUAUUGGAUGUUUAGCUUGUUUGUUGGUUGAUGAUAGAAAUAAUGGGUAAUGUGAUGUGUUUAUAUAGAAGUGUGGGACAGACUAGGGAAGAGUUUCACAUGGUUCUGUCUUUACCAACUGGGGAAGUUCUAAUUUAAUGAAAUUUGUCUUGGUGAGAUUAUUAAUUGAGUGUGUGACAAUAAACUCAAAACAGAUGCAAUUCACAGUUCUCAAUGUUUGUUUAGAUAAGACGUAUGGUAUUGUCAAUAAUAAAGACCAGCAAGUUUCUGUUCUUCAUGUUCUGUGGUGAUCAUAUUCCAUCAUCUCUGUGGUCUAAAUGGAUUUAAUUAAUAAGAACUCAAUGUGGGGACUUGGAGUUUCUCAACAACACAGCAACAAGUCUCUGUCACACGUUAAGUUGUUCUUUGAUUAUAGCCACAACUAGGAUCACUCAGGAGUACAUGACAGUUAUACGUAAAAAAUGAACAUCUCGUUAGGUUUCGUUUCUUGUCAUCAAUCAUGUCUAGAAGACAGUACCAUGUGAAACUCUGUUUGUGUAUGUCCCAUACUUUCAAUGGUUCCAGGGUAAUUGUCAGUCCAUCAAUGUAUUUAUACAUCCAGGAACCAAGUCUUCAAAUCACCAAGUAGUAAAGAAAGCAAUCCAAACAUUGAAUCUGAGCAUCUAACAUCUUUUCAGAAGCAUAAAUUUUCAAGACAAGAAAUGGCUUUGUUCAGAGGUCUCUUAGGUGCAAAAAGGAUUAUUGGCGUAUCUGUAGCGGCUACAAGCAAGAAGACAGUUUCAGCUCCAAAGGGGUUUCUUGUGGUGUACGUUGGGGAAGACCAUGUCCAGAAGAAGAGAAUUUUGGUGCCAGUCUCAUAUCUAAACCAGCCUUCUUUUCAAGCUCUUCUCAAUAAAUCCGAGGAAACAUUUGGAUUUGAUCAUCCAAUGGGUGGCUUGACAAUCCCUUGUCCUGAAGAUACUUUCAUUACUGUGACGUCUCAGUUCCAAUGAUGAUGUUCCAAAAGAAGAAAAAUUAACAUUAGUUAGAGAUCCAAUGUAAAUAAUAUGUUAACGUUUUACAAUGUGAAAGAGAGUGUUAUUUAAUCUGAAUAGUUUCACAAUGUUUUUAUCUUCCAAGAUAAAUUAAUGUGCAACCAAAACACAAACAAUGAAAUCUAACGAGCCUUCAAAUUUUUUCUUUGAAUUUGUUAUAUAUCUAAAGGUGUUUUAAAUUGCUUAUGUUCUCUGCCACAAUUCGCCCUUCUCAAAUCGAUUCCCGAACAGAGUGCUCUGUUUUUUAACGGGAUUCUUUCUCUUACAUACAAUCCACCACGAUUAUGCUCUUCAAGCCCUAACUUAUUUCUUACGUAUGCUCUACUAUGGUUUUAUUUCCCCUCUCUUGAUCUUUUUAUCUUUCUUCUAAAUCUUUAUACGACGCACACCAAUGUUUUUGGUCUUCUGUGUCGUGUUUGGUGUUUGGCGGGAGACCAGAACAAGUAUUUUCGGUUAUGAUAAACUGAGUUUCAACCCAGAUUAGCCUCCUUAGGGAAACCGGAUGAAAGGCAACAAAACCGGAGGGAAAAUCUUUACAAGGAUGCAAAAAAUAUCCGGGUUAAUGUUCGGGAGUUUGAACCCGACGUGAAUCGAACACGCAACCUUCUGAUCUGGAGUCAGACGCGCUACCAUUGCGCCACGGAUCCGGAUGCUUACAUGGCUCACGUAUGUUUAUCUAAGCGUGAUUUGAUAUAAUCCAAAGUUCAAAAGUUAGGGCUCCUUUCUUUUCCGACGAUCGAACCAAAAAUGUAUUGACAAGAUUGUGUCUAUUGCAUAAAAAUGAUAUACACCUUGUAAACCUUUAGAACAACUCUUUCAAGAAGAAAGAUAAAAAAGGUCUAUCUAUUUACAAUGAAUACGUCUACUACUCUACUUCUAACUCCAAGAAUAAAAUUCUGGAAAAUCAGUUAUUCAUCACUGCAUCCGAAAAGUCACAUUGAUGAAUGUAUCUUCGGGACAAGGAAUGGUUAGGCCACCCAUUGGAUGAUCAAACCCAAACUCUUCCUCGGAUUUACUGAGAAGAGCUUGAAACGAAGGCUGGCUCAAGUAUGAGAUCGGCACCAAAUAUCUCGUCUUCUGACUCUCUCCUACGUACACAGCCAGAAACCCUUUUGGUGGUGCCACUGAGGCUGCUCUUUUGCUCGUUGAAGCUCCUGCGGUGUAGAGGCCAAGAAUCUUCUUUGCACCAAGUAGACUUCUCAUCAACGCCAUCUCUUUUUUUAAAGUUUGAAAAAAAAAUUUGAGGCUUUUGAAGAUGUAUGAAAAGCUUCAAGUUGAUGGAUAUGUUGCUUCCUGUUUGUUGAUGAUAUAAAGAAACGGUUAUGUGUGUAUAUAGAAAGAUUAAUGAAUGAGUUUGAAAAGUCCUUGAAACAUGUGGUCUACAAGUGUGGGAUAGGCUAUAGAACAUGGUUCUGUCUUUAACAUCUCUAAAAGAUGCAAGAAUCCUAGUGGAAAUAACAGAAAAAAAAAUGUCCGGAUAAAUUUUCGGGAGUUUGAACCCGACGUCAAUUGAACACGCAACCUUCUGAUCUGGAGUCAGACGCGCUACCAUUGCCCCACGGAUCCGGACGCCAAACAGUAGGAGUUAGCUUAAUUGACCUAUGAAGAAAUUUUAGUUUUAGGUUAUUCAAGUGUUGUGUAGCUUCAACGGUGGCAUAGACUUCUUGUUAUGUUGUUGAGAAACUUCAGGUCCCAUUUAGUUCUUAUUAAAUCCAUUUAGACCACAGAUAUGAGAUAAUAGGACAAAUAAACAACCAUAGUGUUGAUCAAAAAAGAACACCUUUUUUUUGGUCUUUUGGUUGGUAAGUUUGGUUGUUACACCAACUCACCACCAACUCACAAAUCCCCCUCCUAUAAAUACAUGCAUGAAGGAGAACGGGAAAAUCAUCCCAAACAAGAAAAACAAAGUAAGAGAGAACAAGAGAAGAGGAGAAGAGAGAGUGCAGGAGAGAAAAAAAAAAAAAAAAUCUUUCUCGUGAGAAAAUCUUUCUCUUUAAGAAAUUACGAAUAAUUUCUUGAGUGUAUUUGGGAUCGGGUGUGAGUUGAGAGUUUGUAAAAUUUCCCGGGUUGAUAAUAAAAGAUCUGUAGCAGGUCCGGAGACGUAGGCAACAUUGGCAGAACUCCGUUAACAAUUUUGUGUGUGUUUUCCCGCUCCCAUAAAUUCUGGUUUUCCGCAAAAUUUGACCGCGUAUUUCCUAACAACUGGUAUCAGAGCCUGAGUUACGGUGAUCGGUCAAAUUUUUUGCGGGGUUACUAUUCACGUGAACAGUACUUCGUGAAUAGUGAAUUUUCUCGGUAACAUCGGUUUGUCGACGAAGGUGUUCUAAUACACGGUGGUUCCAGAAACGAUGGGAGGCGAAGACGGUUUGGCGCACAGUAUCGGGAAAUUUGACGGUACAGAUUAUGCAUUUUGGAGAAUGCAAAUUGAAGAUUAUCUGUACGGAAAGAAGCUUCAUCAACCGCUGAGCAAGAAGCCUGAGAAGAUGGAUCAGGAUGAGUGGGAGCUCCUUGACAGACAAGUUCUGGGUGUUAUAAGGUUAACACUGUCGAAAAACGUUGCUCACAACGUUGCGAAGGAGAAGACCACGGAAGGGCUCAUGAAAGUUCUCUCUGAUAUGUAUGAGAAACCUUCGGCAAACAAUAAGGUAUUUCUCAUGAAGAAACUCUUUCAUUUGAAGAUGGAAGAAGGUGGCCUGGUUGCCGCACAUGUGAACGAGUUCAACACGAUUGUCAACCAACUGUCAUCGGUUGAAAUCGAGUUUGAUGAUGAAGUGCGAGCACUGAUUUUGUUGGCAUCUCUGCCAAAUAGUUGGGAGCCGAUGAGGGCAGCGGUUAGUAAUUCUGUGGGUACUCAAAAGCUCAAAUUCAAUGAUGUUAGAGAUCGUAUCCUUGGUGAGGAAGUUCGAAGGAUAGACUCUGGGGAGGCAUCAACGAGCUCUGCUUUCAACGUGGAAAACAGAGGGAGAAACCCAGAUAGAAAUAACCGGAGUAAUGGCAGAUCGAAGUCAAGGAAUGGAUGGGGCCAGUCCAAAUUCAGACAGCCUGCAGAGUGCUGGAAUUGUGGAAAGACAGGUCACAUCAAGAAGAAUUGCCGAGCACCACCGAAGAAGGAAGACAACACUAGAGGCGGAGCCAAUGCAGUGACACGUGAAAUCGCUGAUGCAUUGGUAGUGUCUGUUGAUUCCCCGAGGAAAAUUGAAGCUCAUGAUGCAGCUACAAGUACCACCAAAGCGUCAAUAUCCUAUGUUGAUAGCCCAGUCGAUUCAUGGGUUCUUGACUCAGGAGCGUCAUUCCACACCACACCGCACCAUAACAUUAUGGAGAAUUAUGUUGCGGGAAAUUACGGAAAGGUAUAUCUUGCUGAUGGAUUACCUUUGGACAUAGUUGGUAUUGGAGAUAUCAACCUGAAAAUGUCAGACGGACGUGUGUGGAAGAUUACCAAGGUCAGACAUGUGCCAAAGUUGAUGCGAAAUCUGAUUUCAGUAGGUCAACUUGAUGAUAUGGGGCACGAUGUUAAUUUUGGUGGUGGAGCCUGGAGAGUCAAGAAAGGUUCCAUGGUGGUGGCUAGAGGUCAUAAAAGAGGCACUCUUUAUAUGACGACGAGUUAUCAAGACACUGUUGCUGUUGUCGAGAAUGCCAAACAUACCAAGUUGUGGCAUUGUAGGUUGGGACACAUGAGUGAGAAAGGGAUGAAACUCAUGGUGGAAAAUGGUGCUCUUCCGGAUCUGAAGACGGUGGAUCAUCAGAUGUGUGAAAAUUGCAUCCUUGGGAAACAGAAACGAGUUAGUUUCUCUAAACGAGGAAGAGAGCCAAAAUCUGAGAAGUUAGAGCUGGUGCACACUGACGUGUGGGGACCCGCUCCUGUUGCAUCGCUGGGAGGUUCGUACUACUAUGUGACCUUUAUUGAUGACUCCACAAGAAAAGUGUGGGUUUACUUCAUGAAGAACAAGCAUGAAGUGUUUUCGGUUUUCAAAAUUUGGAAAGCCAUGGUUGAGAUUGAGACGAAUCUCAAGUUGAAGUGUCUAAGGUCUGAUAAUGGUGGUGAGUACAUCAGCGGCGAGUUCAAGAGAUAUUGCGCUGAUAAUGGGAUCAAGAUGGAAAAGACUAUUCCUGGAACGCCUCAACAGAAUGGAAUAGCGGAAAGGAUGAACCGAACCUUGAAUGAGCGUGCAAGGAGCAUGAGAUUGCACUGUGGAUUGCCAAAGACGUUUUGGGCAGAUGCAAUCAAUACCGCAGCCUUCUUAAUAAACAGAGGACCGUCUGUACCGUUGGGAUUUAAGAUCCCUGAAGAAUUUUGGAGUGGAAAGAAAGUAAAUCUUUCUUAUCUAAAGGUGUUCGGAUGCUUAGCUUAUGUUCAUAUUGAUGAUGCUGCAAGAAGUAAACUUGACUCGAAGUCUAAGAAGUGUUACUUCAUCGGUUAUGGUAACGCGGAGUUUGGUUACCGGUUUUGGGAUGAUGAAAAUCGGAAGAUCAUCCGCAGCAAGAAUGUUGUGUUCAACGAAGAAGCGUUGUACAAGAAUAAGCUAAGAGAAGGCUCGGAGAAGAAAGACCCUGGAGCUGUUGACUUAGAAGAUAUCCUGACACCGGAGUUGCCACAGGAUACGACUUGCACGAGAUCAAUAGCUUGAAGACGAAACUCUCAGAAGAGUUUGCGAUGAAAGACCUUGGAGAAGCAAGACAGAUUCUAGGGAUGAGAAUCAGUAGGAGCAAGGAAGGUCUUAAGCUAUCACAAGAGGAGUAUGUGAAGAAAGUCCUCAAGAGGUUUAACAUGGAUGACGCGAAGCCAGUUAGUACUCCCCUGGCAAGUCACUUUCGGUUAUCCAGAGAACAGUCUCCAAAGACGGAAGACGAGAUGGCAUGUAUGGAUAAAGUUCCAUAUGCUUCUGCUAUAGGAAGCCUGAUGUACGCGAUGAUAUGUACAAGGCCAGACAUUGCACAUGCAGUGGGAGUCGUUAGCAGAUUUAUGAGCAAUCCAGGGAAGGAACAUUGGGAAGCCGUUAAGUGGAUUUUCAGAUAUCUAAAAGGAAAUCCAAGUUUAUCGCUAUGUUUCACGAAGUCUAAGACGGGAUUGCAGGGAUAUGUUGAUGCUGACAAUGGAGGUGACAUUGACAGCACGAAGAGCACAACCGGGUAUGUCUACACCUUUGGCGGUACUGCAAUUUGUUGGGUUUCAAAGUUGCAGAAAAUUGUAUCUCUAUCAAGCUGUGAAGCUGAGUAUGUUGCGGUAACGGAGGCAACAAAAGAGAUGAUAUGGCUACAGUCUUUUCUAGAGGAGCUAGGCCAUGGCCAAGAGAAAAGUGUGUUGUACUGUGAUAGUAAGAGUGCCAUCGACUUGGCAAAGAAUCCAGUUUACCAUGCUCGGACGAAGCACAUACAUCGUCGAUAUCAUUUCAUCAGAUCAGCGUUGGAAGAUGAAAUGUUGGUGCUUGAGAAGAUCCCAGGAAGCAAGAAUCCGGCAGACAUGCUAACGAAGGUCGUGCCGUAUGAUAAGCUGAGGUUGUGUGUAACCUCAGUUGGCUUGUCAGAGUAACAAGCUGAGAAGACCUGCUACAUCGAUCAAAGUGGGAAGACAGAUUGAAAUCAGUCUUCAAGUGGGAGAUUGUUGAUCAAAAAAGAACACGUUUUUUUUGGUCUUUUGGUUGGUAAGUUUGGUUGUUACACCAACUCACCACCAACUCACAAAUCCCCCUCCUAUAAAUACAUGCAUGAAGGAGAAGGGGAAAAUCAUCCCAAACAAGAAAAACAAAGUAAGAGAGAACAAGAGAAGAGGAGAAGAGAGAGUGCAGGAGAGAAAAAAAAAAAAAAAAAUCUUUCUCGUGAGAAAAUCUUUCUCUUUAAGAAAUUACGAAUAAUUUCUUGAGUGUAUUUGGGAUCGGGUGUGAGUUGAGAGUUUGUAAAAUUUCCCGGGUUGAUAAUAAAAGAUCUGUAGCAGGUCCGGAGACGUAGGCAACAUUGGCAGAACUCCGUUAACAAUUUUGUGUGUGUUUUCCCGCUCCCAUAAAUUCUGGUUUUCCGCAAAAUUUGACCGCGUAUUUCCUAACACAUAGAACGUGGAAGAAAGAACCUUGCUGGUCUUUGUUAUUGACAGUGGCAUAUGUAUCAUCUAAAGCUGAAUUUUUUUAAAAACUUAUCUCAAAUUCUCGCCCAAACGAAGGUGAGUCUUGAUGGUGCAUCUGGAUGCAGAUGCAGAUGCAUCUAGUUCAGUCCAAAAUUAUAAAUGACAAAAACAACCUUUUAAAAUCAAAAUAUUAUUUUCAAACCAAAAAUUCUAUUUUUUUGCAUAUACAUUUUUCCGCCAGAACCGAAAAAUGUAUUUUCCCGCUAAAACUUAAAAACAAAUUUUUCCGCCAAAACCGCAAAAAUGUGUUUUUCCGCAAAAAAAAAGUAAAAACAUUUUUUUCAUAAAAACGCAUUUUUCGGCCAAACCAGUAAAACCAGAAUUUUCGGCCAAAACGGUAAAAACACAUUGUCCCGUCAAACCGUAAAAACACAUUUUUCCGCCAAAAAUGCAAAUCCGCAAAUACGCAUUUUCCUGCCAAAACCGCAAAAACGCAUUUUCCUGCCAAAACCGCAAAAACGCAUUUUCCCGCCAAAACUGCAAAAAAAAAUGCAUUUUUCCGCCAAACCCGCAAAAACGCAUUUUCCUGUCAAAACCACCAAAAAUUCAUUUUCCCGCCAAAACCGCCAAAAAUUCAUUUUCCCGCCCAAACCGAAAAAAACAGUUUCCCACCAAAACCGAAAACGCAUUUCCCUGCCAAAACUGCAAAAACGCAUUUUCCCGUCAAACCCGCAAAAACGCAUUUUCCCUUCAAACCCGCAAAACGCACUUUUUCGUCAAAAACACAUUUUUCUCCAAAACCCCAAAAACAUAUUUUUCCCACCAAAACCGCAAUAACAUAUUUUCCGCCAAACCCACAAAAACGUAUUUUCUGCAAAAACCACAAAAAUACACUUUUUCGUCAAAAACACAUUUUUCCUCAAAAACCGCAAAAAUAUUUUCGCCAAUACCGUAAAAGUGCUAUUUUUCCGCUGGAACGUAAAAAUAUAUAUUUUAGUCAUUUUAUUAACAAAUCCACCUAGAUGCAAAUGCAAGUUAAAAAUGAAAAGCAAACGAACAUAGUUGCAUUCAGAUGAUUCAUCUGGAUGCAUAAACGAAAUGAAGAAACAAACAACACCUAGAUGGAGCAUCUGAAUAAGACACCCAGAUGGAUCAUCUGGAUGCAUCUUCCAGAUGUACAAACGAACAUGGCCUUAAUGAAUUAAACAAACUCUUAAACUGAGAGAUAAUAACCUAAAUGAGGAAUUUUGUUUGGUUGGUAAAAAGAACUGACUAAUAGUAAGGGGAUCCGUUUAAUUUCAUCUCUUUGCACUGCUCAGCCUUCUUUGUUAAUUUAAAGCCUUCUAAUUUGGUUAAACAGCAACUAAAGUAUAAUUUAAUUAGUUGUUCAACUGGUGUUGUCAUUCUUUUUUCAAUGUUUGAUCCAAAAUGCAUAAAUAUAACAUGAAUCGUGAUUGUGUAAAAGAAUAAUGAUAUUUACUUCCAGAACGUUUAGAACAACUCUUUCAAGAAGAAAGAGUAAAAAAUAAUCUCCUCUAUUUACAAGGAACAAGUCUAACUCUAUUCUAAGAACAAAACGAUGGAUAAUCAUCACUGAAGCCGAGAAGUCACAGUGAUGAAAGUAUCUUCAGGGCAAGGGAUCGUUAAGCCACCCAUUGGAUGAUCGAACCCAAACUCUUCCUCAGAUUUACUGAGAAGAUCUUGAAAUGAAGGUUGGCUCAAAUAUGAGAUUGGCACCACAUAUCUCUUCUUCUGACUUUCUCCUACAUACACCGCAAGAAACCCUUUUGGUGCAGCCGAGGUUGCUUUUUUGCUUGUUGCAGCUCCGAGAAUCUUCUUUGCACCCAAUAGACUUCUCACCAAAGCCAUUUCUAGUUUUUUUUUUUUUUUGAAAGUUUGAAUCCUUUUGAAGCUUCUGAAGAUGAUAUGAAAAGGUUCAGGUUAUUGGAUGUAUUGCUUGUUUGUUGGUUGAUGAUAGAAAUAAUGGGUAGUGUGUAUAUAUAGAAAGAUCAACCAAUGAAUUGAAACUCUCUGAAAAAUCCUUGAAGCUUGUGGACUUGAAGUGUGGGACAGACUAGAGCAGGGUUUCACAUGGUUCUGUCUUCACCAACUGAGAAAGUUGUAGUUUAAUGCAAUUUGUCUUGAUGAGAUUAUUAAUUAAGUGUGGGAUAAUAAACUUAAAACAAAUGCAAUUCACAAGGGCUUGUUUUCUCAAUGUUUGUUUAGAUAAGACAUAUGUUAUUGUCAAUAAUAAAGACCAGCAAGUUUCUGUUCUUCAUGUUCUGCGGUGAUCAUAUUCCCUCAUCUCUGUGGUCUAAACGGAUUUAUUGAAUAAUAACUCAAAGUGGGGAUUUUAAGUUUCUCAACAACAGAACAACAAGUCUCUGUCACACGUUAACUUGUUCUUUGAUGAUAUCCACAACUAGGAUCACAGGACAGUUAUACGUAAAAAAUGAACAUCUCGUUAGGUUUAGUUUCUUGUCAUCUAUCAUAUCUAGAAGACUGAACCAUGUGAAACUUUGGUUGUGUAUGUUCAUCAUCAAUCUAUUUAUAUAUCCGGAGACAGAACCAAGUAUUCAAAUCACUAAGUAGUAAAUAAAGCAAAUCCAAAUCUGAAUCUGAGCAUCUAUAACAUUUUUUCAGAAGCUUCAAAUUUUAGUUUUCCAGACACGAGAAAUGGUUUUGUUCAGAGGUCUCUUGGGUGCAAAGAAGAUCAUUGGCGUUUCUGUAGCGGUUACAAGCAAACAGACCGUUUCAGCGCCAAAGGGGUUUCUUGCCGUGUACGUUGGUGAAGACCAGAUCCAGAAGAAGAGAUAUGUGGUGCCAAUCUCAUAUUUAAACCAGCCUUCGUUUCAAGCUCUUCUCAGCAAAUCCGAAGAAGAGUUUGGAUUCGAUCAUCCAAUGGGUGGCUUGACAAUUCCCUGUCCUGAAGAUACCUUCAUUAGUGUGACGUCAAGGUUUCAAUGAUGAUGUUCCAAAAGAAGAAAAAACUAACGUUAGUUAGAGAUAUAAUCAUCCAAUGUAAAUUUUUUUUUUUUUGAUCAAACAAGCAUUGCAUUAGCUAGAAGGGUUCUACCCACCCUGAAGGGGGGUUCUUACAAACUGAUCGAGAGUUGAUUUUGCCACUGAAUCAGCCUCUGAAUUAAAGUUUCGAGAAAUGAAAGUAAAGGAAAUGACAUCAAAAUAGGACAUAAAGUGAUAGAUAUCAAACAUGAUACCGAACAGCUCAGGUUGACACCCUCUCGUCUUCAACAGAUUGAUCAGAGAUAAGGAAUCGGAUAGAACCGCCAAGGAUCGGACGUUUGAAUAAAACGCAUGAGCAACCGCUCGGUGAACAGCCAUGGCUUCGGCCAUGAGCGCCGAUGAUACGUGACUAUGGGAAUCAGAUAUGGUGGGGAGAGUAAACGGUACAUCACCGCUGAAGAUUACUCCCAUACCGCACUUCCCUGAGCUACUGUCCCAAGCCGCAUCCACUUUGCAUAUUAGGACUCCGGUCUGCACAGGCGGUGGAGGACAAGGGGAGCGUUGAUGUGGGCGAAUUGAGCAUGGGUUGUUAGAUGAUAACACUCUGGUACUGUUUUGCGCUUCACUCCACUCCUUGGCGUCUUUAAUGCUCUUAAGUGCAAUUUCUUGAGCUGUGAAGACCCUGUUCUCAAAGACAAGUUUAUUUCGAGCUUUCCACAAGUUCCACAUAACCCAAGGCCACAAAGGAGAAUCAUCCAAUGUCAAUAUGUUAACGUUUUACAAUGUGAAAGAGUUAAAUGAUAUGAAUAGUUUCAGAAUGCUUUUUCUCCCAAGUUAAAUGAAUGUGCAACCAAAACACAAACAAUGAAAAGCUAAAGGUGGUUUUUUUCUCUCUCUCUCUCUCUCUCUCUUUGGAUUCGUUAUAUCUAAAGGUGGUUUAAAUUGCUUAAGUUCUCUGUCACAAUUGUUACUCCCUUGUCAAAAUCGAUUUCCCUGAACAGGAUAACAUGAACAGAUACUGGAAACAGAGUUCUCUGUUUUGUACAGGUUUCAUUCUCUGACGUACAGUACAAUCCACCAUUGAUUAUGCUUUCUCAAUCCUUAAUCGUUUUCUUACGUAUGCUACUAUGGUUUUAUUUCCUCUUUCUUGAUUCUUUUUUCUUUCUUCUAAAAUCUGUAUACCAUGCAGACAGCAGACCAAUGUUUUCGCUCUUUUUGUGUCCUGGUACGUGUUAGUGUUUGGUAGGAAGACCAGAAACCGAUUCAGACCGGAACAAAUAUUUUCGGCUAUAAUAAAUUGAGUUCAAACCAGAUUAUACUCCUAGUGGAACCGGGUGAAAAACCGGAGGGGAAAUCUUUGCAAGGAAGCAAAAAUUAUCCGGAUGAUGUUCGGGAUAUUGAACCCGACGUGAAUCGAACACGCAACCUUCUGAUCUGGAGUCAGACGCGCUACCAUUGCGCCACGGAUCCGGAUGUUUAUACACUCACGUAUACUUAUCUAACGGUGAUUUUAUAUAAUACAAAGUUAGGGCUCCUUCGUUUUCAACGAUCGAUCAAAAAUGUAUUGACAAGAUCGUGUCUAUUGCAUAAAAAUGACAUUCACCAUGUAAACCUUUAGAACAACUCGUUCAAGAAGAAAGAUAAAAAAAGUCAUCUAUUUACAAUGAAUAUGUGUACUUCUAACUCCAAGAAUAAAAUACUGGAAAAUCAGUUAUUCAUCGCUGCAUCCGAGAAGUCACAUUGAUGAAUGUAUCUUCGGGACAAGGAAUGGUUAGGCCACCCAUUGGAUGAUCAAACCCAAACUCUUCCUCGGCUUUACUGAGAAGAGCUUGAAACGAAGGCUGGCUCAAGUAUGAGAUUGGCACCACAUAUCUCUUCUACUGACUUUCUCCUACGUAUACCGCAAGAAACCCUUUUGGUGGUGCCACUGAGGCUGCUCUUUUGCUCGUUGAAGCUCCUGAGGUGUAGAGGCCAAGAAUCUUCUUUGCA
rnacentral:lncRNA from 1 species